AUUGAACGCUGGCGGCAGGCCUAACACAUGCAAGUCGAACGAGUGGCGGACGGGUGAGUAAUGUCUGGGAAACUGCCCGAUGGAGGGGGAUCACUACUGGAAACGGUCGCUAAUACCGCAUUCUAUCGGAGGUGCCCAGAUGGGAUUAGCUAGUAGGUGGGGUAACGGCUCACCUAGGCGACGAUCCCUAGCUGGUCUGAGAGGAUGAAGGGCCAAACUGGAACGGAGACACGGUCCAGACUCCUACGGGAGGAAGCAGUGGGGAAUAUUGCACAAUGGGCGCAAGCCUGAUGCAGCCAUGCCGCGUGUAUGAAGAAGGCCUUCGGGUUGUAAAGUACUUUCAGCGAGGAGGCGUUACUCGCAGAAGAAGCACCGGCUAACUCCGUGCCAGCAGCCGCGGUAAUAC
rnacentral:rRNA from 1 species